rnacentral:rRNA from 1 species
AUUGAACGCUGGCGGCAGGCUUAACACAUGCAAGUCGAGCGGGGUGAUGGUGCUUGCACUAUCACUUAGCGGCGGACGGGUGAGUAAUGCUUAGGAAUCUGCCUAUUAGCGGGGGACAACAUCUCGAAAGGGAUGCUAAUACCGCAUACGUCCUACGGGAGAAAGCAGGGGACCACUUGUGACCUUGCGCUAAUAGAUGAGCCUAAGUCGGAUUAGCUAGUUGGUGGGGUAAAGGCCUACCAAGGCGACGAUCUGUAGCGGGUCGGAGAGGAUGAUCCGCCACACUGGGACUGGGAAACGGCCCAGACUCCUACGGGAGGCGGCAGUGGGGAAUAUUGGACAAUGGGGGGAACCCUGAUCCAGCCAUGCCGCGUGUGUGAAGAAGGCCUUAUGGUUGUAAAGCACUUUAAGCGAGGAGGAGGCUCUUUUGGUUAAUACCCAAGAUGAGUGGACGUUACUCGCAGAAUAAGCACCGGCUAACUCUGUGCCAGCCGCCGCGGUAA